GGAAGCUCUGUUUUUUAAAUGUUGCUUAAAUCACAUGCAAGUACGGCUUUGGUUCCGCUUUGAAUAGGAAUUAUUCAAGGCCAAAUUGCUGGUCCUGCCGUGAUCAUUGAGAGUGCUUCUGAUGUGGUUGUUCCUUGAACUGUCUGCUGAAAGACUAGAGGAUUGGAGUUUGGUGUGUCAGACUGAGGAGCACUGUGAGACUGACUGCUCUUUGUGCUGAACUCAAGAGACAGCAAACGCAAUACUGGGUAAGUUUCUGCACAUUAGUACUUCUAACAUGAUCACUAAUGUUUCUACCUCUCCAGAGGGUUUUGGUGUAGGAAGACAGUUGCUCAAGUAGGGUAUCUGGAGGGAAAGUGUGAACUCUAAUGAAAGAAGUGAAAAAAGCAAACAGCUGGGCUUUCAGUCAUUAGAGAGCUGGGGAAAUGGAAAUGGUCCAUGGGAGCAUCAAACAGUGAUCACUUGCAAUAGGCUUCUUUUGUAGCAAAGUAAUGCUUUGUGCAACAUAGCUGUAGAGAUAGAUGUUUAUUUAGGAAGCACUAGGUAGCUGGGGGAGUAUACUGAGAAAAAAAGGGCUGUAGUCAGAACGCUAAGAAUGAAGCAGAAACAAAGUAGGAUUUGAACUGGGAAACAAGAAGAAAGAAAGCAGCAUUUAUU
rnacentral:lncRNA from 1 species